rnacentral:rRNA from 1 species
GACAGAGGGGGCAAGCGUUGCUCGGAAUUACUGGGCGUAAAGGGCGCGUAGGCGGGAUGGCAAGUCGGUCGUGAAAUCCCUCGGCUCAACCGAGGAACGUCGAUCGAUACUGCUGUUCUUGAGGAUUGCAGAGGAGACUGGAAUUCCCGGUGUAGCGGUGAAAUGUGUAGAGAUCGGGAGGAACACCGGUGGCGAAGGCGGCAUCCUGGACCGACACUGACGCUGAGGAGCGAAAGCCAGGGGAGCAAACGGG